CGGCGGACGGGUGAGUAACGCGUGGGUAACCUGCCUCAUACAGGGGGAUAACAGUUGGAAACGGCUGCUAAUACCGCAUAAGCGCACAGUACCGCAUGGUACCGUGUGAAAAACUCCGGUGGUAUGAGAUGGACCCGCGUCUGAUUAGCUAGUUGGUGGGGUAACGGCCUACCAAGGCGACGAUCAGUAGCCGGCCUGAGAGGGUGAACGGCCACAUUGGGACUGAGACACGGCCCAG
rnacentral:rRNA from 1 species